rnacentral:rRNA from 1 species
AUUGAACGCUGGCGGCAGGCCUAACACAUGCAAGUCGAACGCGUGGCGCACGGGUGAGUAAUGUCUGGGACUCUGCCUGAUGGGGGGGGAUAACUACUGGACACGGUCGCUAAUACCGCAUACCCUCAGAUGUGCCCAUAUGGGAUUAGCUUGGUGGUGGGGUAACGGCUCACCAAGGCGACGAUCCCUAGCUGGUCUGAGAGGAUGACCAGCCACACUGGAACUGAGACACGGUCCAGACUCCUACGGGAGGCAGCAGUGGGAAAUAUUGCACAAUGGGCGCAAGCCUGAUGCAGCCAUGCCGCGUGUAUGAAGAAGGCCUUCGGGUUGUAAAGUACUUUCAGUGGGGAGGCGUUACCCGCAGAAGAAGCACCGGCUAACUCCGUGCCAGCAGCCGCGGUAAUAC